AGCUUCUGUCCUGUGUCUCUCGGGAACCUGCCACCCAUCACUGGUCCCUGGGAUAGCUCCUGUCAUCACCACCAUCCACCUCUCACCCUGGAGACUACACAAUUGCCGCCUCGUCUCCGCUCCAGGUAGCCAGGGCUUUAGAAACUGUUAUUUUAUCGGGUGAGAGAUUUGGAGAAAGGUUUACCGAAAGGAUGAGCAGCCCCCACCCAAAGGCACAGACGACAAGAAAGACACAUCGUCUCAACCUCCACCCCUCCGAAGUCGGCCGGCGACCGGGAGCACCGGAGUCGCGACUCCCCAAGAUGAAGAGCGCGGAGAGCCGCUCCCCGGUGCCAGUCCCGGCUAAGGCAGCAGCGCUCGUUAGCGGAUAAAGGGGAGAAGGUCACAGACGCAACCCCUGAGGAGCCAAGGGACGCGGGCAGCCAGCCUAUUCAGGGGCGGGUCCCUCGGCCCUCCCGCGGGGAGCUCGGCUUCUAAGAGGCUUCCAAGGGGCCGGGGCUUCCUCAGGCCUCCGCCUGCCGUCCACCGGGAGCCGGCAGCCGGCAGCCCUACUCGGCGGGCGGCCCGGGAACGGCCCCGAGCGGCCGGGCUGGGCCAGCCGAGCACACACACGGGAGGUCCAGAUGGUGAAAGAGGAAGCGUUACCGUACGCGGGUCGGGAGCUGGCGGCGGUGGGGUGCGGCUCCAGCGCCCGGCACCUGGCUGCCCAGCGGCUGCGGUAGCCGCGUCCUUUAUAUUUUUGCUGCAGCGGCGGCGACUUGUCAAAGGGAAAGACAUUCUUAGGUGCUGAGAUUACAAGCGUGUGCCCACAUCCAGCUGUUUUACUUUGUUGUUUGUAGUAUCUGUGACCUAACUCAGAGUUCUUGACCCUGCUCAGCAAGGCUAUGGAGGAGGAAACCUAAAAGGUAAUUGAUCUGCCAAAAAGGUUUGAAAGGAAGCAGAGACACAAAAAUAGGACCCAAGAUUGGCAAGCACUUCUUUUAGAAAUGAGAUUCCUUCUUGUUGCAUACAAAGCGUACAGAGUUCCUAACUGGACUCUAUUCUCAGUGAAAUAACACUCCUGUCAGGACAACCCUCUAAAUAAUAGUAAAAACUUCCUUUACAGGACAUUGCCUAAGCCUGGAAUACAAUAAUCAUUUUUACUUUUGGUUAAAAUAUGAUUUUGCUAUUUCUUUUGGGUUUUGAAGGAGGGCGGGGUUUCAUGAAGCCUAGGCUA